rnacentral:rRNA from 1 species
AUUGAACGCUGGCGGCAGGCCUAACACAUGCAAGUCGAACGAGUGGCGGACGGGUGUGUAAUGUCUGGGAACCUGCCUGAUGGAGGGGGAUAACUACUGGAACCGGUGGCUAAUCCCGCAUACCAUCAGAUGUGCCCAGAUGGGAUUAGCUUGUGGGUGGGGUAACGGCUCACCAAGGCGACGGUCCCUAUCUGGUCUGAGAGGUGGACCGCCCACACUGGAACUGAGACAGGGUCCAGACUCCUACGGGAGGCAGAAGUGGGGAAUAUUGGACAAUGGGCGAAAGCCUGAUGCAGCCAUGCCGCGUGUAUGAAGAAGGCCUUCGGGUGUUAAAGUACUUUCAGCGGGGAGGCGUUACCCGCAGAAGAAGCACCGGCUAACUCCGUGCCAGCAGCCGCGGUAAUUC